rnacentral:rRNA from 1 species
AUUGAACGCUGGCGGCAGGCCUAACACAUGCAAGUCGAACGGUAACAGGAAGCAGCUUGCUGCUUUGCUGACGAGUGGCGGACGGGUGAGUAAUGUCUGGGGAUCUGCCCGAUGGAGGGGGAUAACCACUGGAAACGGUGGCUAAUACCGCAUAACGUCGCAAGACCAAAGUGGGGGACCUUCGGGCCUCACACCAUCGGAUGAACCCAGAUGGGAUUAGCUAGUAGGUGGGGUAACGGCUCACCUAGGCGACGAUCCCUAGCUGGUCUGAGAGGAUGACCAGCCACACUGGAACUGAGACACGGUCCAGACUCCUACGGGAGGCAGCAGUGGGGAAUAUUGCACAAUGGGCGCAAGCCUGAUGCAGCCAUGCCGCGUGUAUGAAGAAGGCCUUCGGGUUGUAAAGUACUUUCAGCGGGGAGGAAGGGAUGGUGCUUAAUACGCACCGUCAUUGACGUUACCCGCAGAAGAAGCACCGGCUAACUCCGUGCCAGCAGCCGCGGUAAUACGGAGGGUGCAAGCGUUAAUCGGAAUUACUGGGCGUAAAGCGCACGCAGGCGGUCUGUUAAGUCAGAUGUGAAAUCCCCGGGCUUAACCUGGGAACUGCAUUUGAAACUGGCAGGCUUGAGUCUCGUAGAGGGGGGUAGAAUUCCAGGUGUAGCGGUGAAAUGCGUAGAGAUCUGGAGGAAUACCGGUGGCGAAGGCGGCCCCCUGGACGAAGACUGACGCUCAGGUGCGAAAGCGUGGGGAGCAAACAGGAUUAGAUACCCUGGUAGUCCACGCCGUAAACGAUGUCGACUUGGAGGCUGUUUCCUUGAGAAGUGGCUUCCGGAGCUAACGCGUUAAGUCGACCGCCUGGGGAGUACGGCCGCAAGGUUAAAACUCAAAUGAAUUGACGGGGGCCCGCACAAGCGGUGGAGCAUGUGGUUUAAUUCGAUGCAACGCGAAGAACCUUACCUGGUCUUGACAUCCACGGAAUUCGGCAGAGAUGCCUUAGUGCCUUCGGGAACCGUGAGACAGGUGCUGCAUGGCUGUCGUCAGCUCGUGUUGUGAAAUGUUGGGUUAAGUCCCGCAACGAGCGCAACCCUUAUCCUUUGUUGCCAGCGCGUAAUGGCGGGAACUCAAAGGAGACUGCCGGUGAUAAACCGGAGGAAGGUGGGGAUGACGUCAAGUCAUCAUGGCCCUUACGACCAGGGCUACACACGUGCUACAAUGGCGCAUACAAAGAGAAGCGACCUCGCGAGAGCAAGCGGACCUCAUAAAGUGCGUCGUAGUCCGGAUUGGAGUCUGCAACUCGACUCCAUGAAGUCGGAAUCGCUAGUAAUCGUGGAUCAGAAUGCCACGGUGAAUACGUUCCCGGGCCU